rnacentral:rRNA from 1 species
CGCGUAGGUGGUAGUGUAAGUCUGGGGUGGAAUCCCAGGGCUCAACCCUGGAACUGCCUUGGAGACUGCAUUACUUGAGUCAGUGAGGGGAGGGUAGAAUUCCUGGUGUAGCGGUGAAAUGCGUAGAUAUCAGGAGGAAGGCCUGUGGCGAAGGCGGCCCUCUGGCGCUGGACUGACACUGAGGCGCGAAAGCGUGGGGAGCAAACAGGAUUAGAUACCCUGGUAGUCCACGCCCUAAACGGUGGGCACUAGGUGUAGGGCUCGUAAGGGUUCUGUGCCGAAGGGAACCAUUAAGUGCCCCGCCUGGGGAGUACGGCCGCAAGGUUGAA